rnacentral:tRNA from 1 species
ACCUACAAAAACUUAGUUAACAGCUAAACGCCCAAUACAACUGGCUUCAAUCUA